CUCGACGUGUCGUGAGAUGUUGGGUUAAGUCCCGUAACGAGCGCAACCCUUGAACUUAGUUGCCAGCAUUCAGUUGGGCACUCUAAGUUGACUGCCGGUGACAAACCGGUGGAAGGUGGGGAUGACGUCAAAUCAUCAUGCCCCUUAUGACCUGGGCUACACACGUACUACAAUGGCCGGUACAACGGGAAGCAACUGAGCGAGAUGGAGCCAAUCCUAAGAAAGCCGGUCUCAGUUCGGAUUGCAGGCUGCAACCCGCCUGCAUGAAGUCGGAAUUGCUAGUAAUCGCGGAUCAGCAUGCCGCGGUGAAGCAUUUCCCGGGUCUUGUACACACCGCCCGUCACACCACGAGAGUUUACAACACCCGAAGUCGGUCGGGUAACCGUAAGGAGCCAGCCGCCGAAGGUGGGGUAGAUGACCG
rnacentral:rRNA from 1 species